rnacentral:rRNA from 1 species
AUUGAACGCUGGCGGCAGGCCUAACACAUGCAAGUCGAACGAAGUCUUCGGACUUAGUGGCGGACGGGUGAGUAACACGUGGGAACGUGCCUUUAGGUUCGGAAUAACUCAGGGAAACUUGUGCUAAUACCGAAUGUGCCCUUCGGGGGAAAGAUUUAUCGCCUUUAGAGCGGCCCGCGUCUGAUUAGCUAGUUGGUGAGGUAAAGGAUCACCAAGGCUACGAUCAGUAGCUGGUCUGAGAGGAUGACCAGCCACAUUGGGACUGAGACACGGCGCAAACUCCUACGGGAGGCAGCAGUGGGGAAUCUUGCGCAAUGGGCGAAAGCCUGACGCAGCCAUGCCGCGUGGAUGAUGAAGGUCUUAGGAUUGUAAAAUCCUUUCACCGGUGAAGAUAAUGACUGUAGCCGGAGAAGAAGCCCCGGCUAACUUCGUGCCAGCCGCCGCAGUAAGAC